rnacentral:other from 1 species
AAGAUCCUGCUGUGUGCGUGAAGUGAGUUAAUAUUGAGCCAACAUAUUUUUGAACGGGAAUCUAACUCUUUUAGUGGAAUGAUGCUUAGGUUAAACUUAGUCAUUAAUAAAUAUAUUAAGGUUAAGUUUAUAUACUUGAGAACAAGAAGCAAAAAGGUGAUGCCCACCUGCUUAGUCAGGUUCAACAAUAACUCACAUAACGGCAUGGCGGGAUUUUU